UCAAGAUAAAGAAAUUUAAAUUUUUUUAGACUUCAGUUAGAUUUCGACCCUCUAAUUUAGUCUGAAUUUAUUUUGGCCCACUAAAUUUAGUUUAGCUAGAUUUUGACCUUUUUUCCGUCAGAGAGUAGCCCAUUACAUCGAUUACAGUUGAACCAGUUGGAAGCUCGGAUUUUUUGCCCAAAACAAAAUCAAAAACACGAAUUGAUUUCUUGAAUAGUCCCAGGAUGAGAUGAAUUGUAUCCUUGGGGAUCGACACUUGUUUUAAUCGCUCAUUUGCAAUAUCAGAGACCAUCCUCAAAAGAAAGGCGUGUUCUGAUGUAAAUGUCUCAUUACCUAGGACUAUAUCGGCCCUGUAUAGUUUUGAGAAGAGGUCAGGGAAGCAACCACCUUCAACACAGAGUCUUGAAACCAGAACCUUGAGCCAAUAAUCAUCUACAGACCCAACUACAAACACACAAAAAAAACAACAAGGGAUUUGGCGUUUGGAAGAAUAAGACAAAACAAAAAACCAACACCAACCAAACUAAACUGGCUUGAAUCAUCUGGCAAAACUAGAACAGUCUGAAUCAGUCCUGGAAGACUCUAGAAGAAACUGCAAGCACUGCUCUAGUGAAUAAGAUAUAUCUGAAACAUUAAGCAGCGGCUCAAGCACUUCUUCGGGUACACAAGCUUCCAUUGUUGACGACUAGUGACUGAGAUAAGGAUUUCCUGGAUGCUUAUGAGGCCAGGAGUAAUUCUGUAAACAUAAAACUAUUGUUCGGCAUUGUGGGCUGAUUGGCCCAUAUAUAUGGGCUAAUAUGGUACGAUAGCAAUUUGAUUUUAGGUCAUCAAGAAGAAUUGUAGAAAACUGUAAGCCUCCAGUGGUUUUCGAAAAUGC
rnacentral:lncRNA from 1 species